rnacentral:rRNA from 1 species
GACGAACGCUGGCGGCGUGCUUAACACAUGCAAGUCGAACGAAGAGCGAUGGAAGCUUGCUUCUAUCAAUCUUAGUGGCGAACGGGUGAGUAACGCGUAAUCAACCUGCCCUUCAGAGGGGGACAACAGUUGGAAACGACUGCUAAUACCGCAUACGAUCUAAUCUCGGCAUCGAGGAUAGAUGAAAGGUGGCCUCUACAUGUAAGCUAUCACUGAAGGAGGGGAUUGCGUCUGAUUAGCUAGUUGGAGGGGUAACGGCCCACCAAGGCGAUGAUCAGUAGCCGGUCUGAGAGGAUGAACGGCCACAUUGGGACUGAGACACGGCCCAGACUCCUACGGGAGGCAGCAGUGGGGAAUCUUCCGCAAUGGACGAAAGUCUGACGGAGCAACGCCGCGUGAGCGAUGACGGCCUUCGGGUUGGAAAGCUCUGUUAAUCGGGACGAAAGGCCUUCUUGCGAAUAGUGAGAAGGAUUGACGGUACCGGAAUAGAAAGCCACGGCUAACUACGUG